UUAGUGGCCUUGAAUGCAGCUUGAGCAGUGAACCAGAGUGAAAGUAAAAGUUGGGUUUUGGUUUUCUCCGAAACACCUAAACAGAUGUCGUCGAGUGCCUUUAAUCCUCAACAUUCAAUUUUUUUGUAUCUGAAUGCCAUAAGGCGACAGGCAGGAAGAAGCUGAGGCAAGGACAGCAUCUCGAGUCUCCAUCAUCUGUGAAGGUGUGCAAGACGCACUGGCUUCCUUCCUCCCCAGCUGUGAUGUUUGGCAUGUGGCCUCAACCUGUCUGAUUGAGUCCUGAGAAAAGCAAAACAUAUGGACAUCAAAGGCCAGUGUUGGACCGACGAGGAGUCGGAUGGGGAGAACGAGCCAGAGCAAUUCCUGUAUGGCAUCCAGGGGAGCUGUGCAGCUGAUCUGUACCGUCAUCCUCAGCUUGAUGCAGAUAUUGAGGCAGUAAAAGACAUCUACACCGACAGUGCUAUCGCCGUUAGGGAGUAUGGCAUCAUUGAUGACGUCGACAUCGAGCUUCAUAUUAACAUUGGCUUCCUCGAUGAGGAGGUUGCGACAGCUUGGAAAGUAAUCAGAACAGAGCCCAUUAUUCUGAGACUCCGCUUUUCUCUUUCUCAGUACCUCGAUGGGCCCGAGCCAACAGUUGAUGUGUUCCAGCCCUCAAAUAAAGAAGGAUUCAGCCUUGGCUUGCAACUCAGAAAGAUUUUGAGCACUUUCACGUCCCAGCAGUGGAAGCAUCUCAGUAAUGAGUUCCUCAAGGCCCAGCAGGAGAAGAGGCACAGCUGGUUCAAAGCCGGUGGAACCAUCAAAAAGUUUCGCGCUGGCCUCAGCAUCUUCUCUCCAAUCCCCAAGUCUCCAAGUUUCCCUUUGAUCCAAGACACUGUCCUGAAAGGGAAGCUGAGUGUCCCUGAGCUCCGCGUGACCCGCCUCAUGAAUCGUUCCAUCUCAUGUACCAUGAAGAACCCAAAAGGGGAGCUCUUCAGCUAUCCGCCAAACAGCCAGACUGUGGCGGUCCCAGCGGCCAGGGCCCCGGCACAGAUCACCACGAGGCAGCUGAUUGAAUUAUUUUUCUCAUCCCAGGCGGGUGGACAUUGCAAGAACAUUCCCACACUGGAGUAUGGCUUCUUAGUGCAGAUAAUGAAGUACUCUGAGCAGAGGAUACCCACGCUCAAUGAGUAUUGUGUGGUUUGCGACGAGCAGCAUGUCUUUCAGAAUGGAUCCAUGCUGAAGCCAGCUGUGUGCACGAGGGAGCUGUGCGUAUUCUCUUUCUACACGCUGGGUGUGAUGUCGGGAGCGGCAGAAGAAGUGGCCACCGGUGCUGAGGUCGUAGAUCUCCUUGUGGCGAUGUGCCGAGCUGCGCUUGAGUCUCCCCGCAAGAGCAUCAUCUUUGAGCCCUACCCUUCCGUUGUGGACCCCAAUGACCCCAAGACUUUGGCCUUCAACCCAAAGGAGAAGAAGAAUUAUGAGAGGCUGCAGAAAGCACUGGACAGUGUCAUGUCCAUACGGGAAAUGACCCAGGGCUCGUAUUUGGAGAUCAAGAAGCAGAUGGACAAACUCGAUCCUUUGGCCCAUCCCCUGCUACAAUGGAUUAUUUCCAGUAAUAGAUCUCACAUUGUCAAGUUGCCUCUUAGUAGGCAACUGAAAUUCAUGCACACCUCCCACCAGUUCCUGCUGCUCAGCAGCCCUCCAGCCAAGGAGGCUCGUUUCCGCACUGCCAAAAAGCUUUACGGCAGUACCUUCGCCUUCCAUGGUUCCCAUAUAGAGAACUGGCACUCUGUUCUGAGAAAUGGACUAGUCAAUGCCUCUUAUACCAAACUGCAGGUACGUAAACCCUUGCAGUUCCUCUUCUCGGACCAUCAGCCUGCUCUGCAAAAGAACGGGCUGGCUGUCCGGCUGAUUCAUUUUUGCAGUUAAUAGAUGCCAGCUUCCCUUUUGGGCUGCUUUGCGGUUUGCCUUUUAGCCAGCAGGGCGUACCAACAGAAUUUCCCCCCAGCUAAUGCAGUCAGCAGUGAAUGCCACUGUGAAACAGGAGGGGGGUGGGGGUGGGGGCUGUGGCAUUCACUAUGAUGCUGGCUAGGGGGCUGUCUGUGCGUCUUCUUGGGGUGAACCACUUAGAGUACAUUGUAGGCUAGGUCUGAUAUUCCGGAAUGCAAAGGAUAACUGGACACAGUGAGUAAAGAUUUCUCCUCAAAGAGCUUCCAUCGGGAGAGGUAAGUAACUAAAACCAAAUAUGCUGAGUAAACAUGAACUAUGGUGGGACAAGAACCUGAUAGUCCCCACCCCCCACUGUACAUAAACACCUUUUACCACUUGUAAGAGCAAGCAUUUUCUCUGACUUAUUUCUGUGUAGUUGUUGUGUAUUAACGUCAGAGAUAUGACAUGGAAGUUAAAAUGUUGGUCUGACAAGAUUACACCUUUGGAGGUGGUAUCAGACCUGUAACAGGUGGGUUAACUAUUACCAGUGCAAGAACAUUCCAUGAUAUCAGGAAUCGUGGCACUCACUUCUCCCACUCCGUGUUGUUUGAAAGCAAAAGUAUUUUUAUCAUCACACCAGACACUGGUGCUGACCUAACCUAAUUUAACCUGAUCAAACUUGCACAAUACCUGUAGAGCUGGUCCACUUUUUCACAGACGGUCCUCAAUCCUAAGAGCCGACAUCCCAACGGACCCUCCUCUCUAGCACCCUUGACUAGACCUUACCGGGUGGGCUGAGGAGUUUUAUCUCCCUGUAGAUGAAACAUAAACUCCGGUCCCCUUUUUAAAAAGGGGGACCACUACCCAAGGCUGCCAAUCCAGAAGCACUGUCCCCAAUGUCAUGUGGUGUUGCAGAGGCGUGUCAAUAAGGACAGCCCUUCAUCUCCAGACCUUUUCGGAGUUGAAUUUAGGGUAAAUAUAAAGUAAACAUACUGCGAGUGUAAUGUUGGUGUAUAAAUAAAAUUUUCCAACAUCAUUAUCAGAUCAGAUAUCUGCAUAUGACUCGCUACAUAUGCUCAUUUUUCAGCUUACUUUGCGAACCAGCUGAUUUCAAGGACAUUGGUGAUCCAAUUUAACAGGCGAUGAAUUCCACACCCUGCACAAACACCUCAUUUGCACAAGUGCUUAGAGAAGUGCUGAAAAUAGAUUUAAUUCUCUUAAAAUUCAAAUUAUGCGGUUUAUUCUUAAACCUUGAUGAUCGCUCAUGUCUUCUGCUGUCUUUAAUUUGUGCCCUCCUUGUUCUCAAACAUUUAAGAUGUCGAAUUGCUGCGUCUCAACUCCACCUUGAAGAUCAUUAUUCCUUCCCCCUUCUCAUUCUCUUCUAUGUUCUUGCCUCUAAACCAUCACAUCAAAUGUCUCACCUAAGACUGUAUUUACACCGUUUGGUUCAGGUGACACGUUUUUUUUCUCCCUCAAGUGAUACUAUUAGCAGAUGCACCAUUGUUACGUGGAAUCGGCCAUAUCCAGAUUGGAAUCAAGGCUGUUCCUGUGGAUAUCAAUCCAAUAGUUACAUAUUGGAUAUCAACCUCAAAACUUACAUAUUGGUUAUCUACCAACACAGGAAUCAGAUAUGGUCUUCCAUGUCACAGCAAACUUGAUGUCAUGGAAAUAGCCAUUUAUAGAUACCUAAAUCUGGUCUCAAUAUGCUGCAGUAGGGUCAUUCCACCAUUUAAUAAAAAAAAUAAUUUGCUAAGAGUGGAUAUGAUUGUUUAAUUAAAAUGAAGAGAAAUAUCAGCCCAGGCCAACUGUAGGCUAUAUGUAAUGUUGAAUAUUUGGAUUAUUCCUGUUGUUUGAAAUUAAAACAGGCACCUGGACGCAUAUAAUAUCGUAAAUAUAUACAGUAUUUAUUACAAUGUUAGCUAGUUUGCGGUAGUACUGGUGUGGCAUCAGCUACCAGAGACUUAGCCAAAAAAGAUGCUUCUGAUUCUGAUAAUGCCACUUCAGUUAUCAACGUUAUGCUCUGGUAGCACAAAUCCAUGGUCUGCCUUGUCUCACUCAAGUGCUGGCCACGUCAUAAUCACUUUUAUAAUCUGGUCUUCCAUCUGAAUUAUUUACCUCAGUGCCUUCUCCCUAUUGGCUUUCCAUUGGGAGCUGCUAGUUUUCACUUUUACACAGCCUCCUUAAACCAGGAUGUUUACAGCUCAUUGUUGUUUACAAAUAGCUUUUUGUGGUGUCUCGGUUUAAUAAAUUUUUGUUCUGUGCUGCACUAAUGCCCCCCACCCCCUUCUCAAACCAAGCUGCAUGGGGCCGCGUACGGAAAGGGCAUCUAUCUCAGCCCCAUCUCCAGCAUAUCUUUUGGAUACUCAGGAAUGGGGAAGGGACAGCACCGCAUGCCCACCAAAGAUGAGCUGGUGCAGCGGUACAACCGCAUGAAUACCAUACCAC